GAUGAACGCUGGCGGCGUGCCUAACACAUGCAAGUCGAGCGAUUUACUUCGGUAAAGAGCGGCGGACGGGUGAGUAACGCGUGGGUAACCUGCCCUGUACACACGGAUAACAUACCGAAAGGUAUGCUAAUACGAGAUAACAUACUUUUAUCGCAUGGUAGAAGUAUCAAAGCUCUGGCGGUACAGGAUGGACCCGCGUCUGAUUAGCUAGUUGGUAAGGUAACGGCUUACCAAGGCGACGAUCAGUAGCCGACCUGAGAGGGUGAUCGGCCACAUUGGAACUGAGACACGGUCCAAACUCCUACGGGAGGCAGCAGUGGGGAAUAUUGCACAAUGGGCGAAAGCCUGAUGCAGCAACGCCGCGUGAGCGAUGAAGGCUUUCGGGUCGUAAAGCUCUGUCCUCAAGGAAGAUAAUGACGGUACUUGAGGAGGAAGCCCCGGCUAACUACGUGCCAGCCGCCGCGGUAACAC
rnacentral:rRNA from 1 species